ACUGUUAGUAACACAAGGGAACUGGAGGCUCUAAAAAGGAGAGAGUAGACAAAAAUGCCCAUCACCUCAGAGACUCAAAAGCAGAGGUUGAUGUUCCAAGGCUUCAGUGGCAGCAUGGUUUCAUUUUCAUUGUUUUGUAUAGUUUUAUUAUUUUUCUUAUAUUCAGAAGAGAAGAUGAGCAGGCCAGGAGGCAGAUAGAGGGGACUGCAUUGGCGAGCACAGACCCAAUAGUGGAGAAAAUGAAAAAUCAAUAAGUCUUUGGAAGUCAGAACCAGAAGCAUUCUUGUCCUAUCCAUGCCCUUGGGAUGUGUCUUUUACAUAUUAAUUUGAAGAAAUAAAACUUUAAGACCAAGAGA